AGCGGAGGAAAAGAAACUAACUAGGAUUCCCUUAGUAACGGCGAGUGAACCGGGAUGAGCUCAAAUUUAAAAUCUGGCGUCUUUCAGGCGUCCGAGUUGUAAUCUAUAGAGGCGUUUUCCGCGCCGGACCGCGUCCAAGUCUCUUGGAAUAGAGUAUCAAAGAGGGUGACAAUCCCGUACUUGACGCGACAACCGGUGCUCUGUGAUACGUUCUCAAUGAGUCGAGUUGUUUGGGAAUGCAGCUCUAAAUGGGUGGUAAAUUCCAUCUAAGGCUAAAUAUUGGCGAGAGACCGAUAGCGAACAAGUACCGUGAGGGAAAGAUGAAAAGCACUUUGGAAAGAGAGUUAAACAGCACGUGAAAUUGUUAAAAGGGAAACGAUUGAAGUCAGUCGUGUGAAAGGUAUUCAGCCGUCUCUGGCGGUGUAUUUGCCUUUCACGGGUCAACAUCAGUUUGAUCCGGUAGAAAAAGGCGGGAGGAA
rnacentral:rRNA from 1 species